UGCGUCUCUGGGUGCGACAGGUGUUCCUCAUUUUGAUGAUCAUCUGGAAGAGUAGGGGACGGAUCGCCAGCACUUCUUUGGCUGAGUGUUUUGCCUACAGCGGUUCCAUAUACAGUCUUUUGACUCAGUCUGAUGGUUUAUUGCACCCUGCUUCAGAAGAACCCGGAUUAAGUUCCAGCUGGCUGUCCGUUCUCCGGUACUCUUUCCUCGCCUGCACGCACCCAGUCCACCCUCCAACGAUCCGCUUACUUGGACCACGGAAGUUCCUGGUGGAUUCUCAGAAGAGGUCCCCCUGGACUCAUUUGCCAUCUCCCUGGCGGAUCUAGUCCUCCCUGCACACCUCCUCCGUUUCCUGUCUGCAUGGCUAGCCCUGAUCAUUAUCUGUUCCAGAAUUCUAGCAAUAAACUUCCAAAACUGUU